UUUUUUUUUGUGGGGUAAAGAAGCCGUCUCUUUAAUAUGCACUUUCCUCUGCCAGCUGGAGCACGUAGCGCUUUUGCAGGGCCCGGUUGUAAUUCAAGUACGUAAUGGCUACUAUAUCGAUCAACAAGUUUCAGUGGUCACUUGACAGCGCCACACGAGGCCCCCUAUCCUCGGCCUGACCGGUCUUGUCAACAGCCAAUUGCCACCUAAUCGGAUCCGGAAAAUUCAGCAUCAACUUUCGGUUUAUCCGACAUCUCUCGUAGCAACCUCAUCUGUGGGACAGAUAUGGGGAACAAGUUUGUCAUGUCGGAUCUGCUCCAAAUUGGCCCACCCAGCCCCAUAAAAAAAUCGAAAACAAAAAAAUAAAUAAAUUAUAAUAACAAUAUAAAUGCAGCAAGAAUUAUUAUGCAAGAAGCCGGCAUGCAUCAUCCGUAUCAGAAAAGGUCAAGGAGAGGAGUUAACCUAAACUCCUCAAUCAAGACAAGACUCUUCAUCCAUGCUAAAAUAUUGGGUCAUGCAUGAUGACUAAAAUAUUCAGCCAUGCAUGGAUGACUCAUACAACGAUGCGUGCAAGAUUUGGAAUUAAAUAUCAUGGCAAAAGCUGCAAUGAAGACAAAAGUUUCAGUCUAGACAAGGUUUUCAGUCUGGACAAAAUUAUCUGUCAAGCAAAGGUUUCAGUCUGAACAAAAUCAUCUAUCAGGACAAAGAAUUCAAUUUGGACAAAAUCGCCUGUCAGGACAAAAACUCAGUCACGCAUCGGAAUCAUGCAUGUCUAUGCAAAUAAAGAUGCUUGACUGGGCAAACUCCCUCCGUCCCGAAAAACAUGUCGCAAUGACAUUUUUGCGAAAACCCCCUCUGUGAAUUCCCGACACAACCCGCAGUCCCUGGUCGUCUCCCUCGUAGCCUCACUCGUCUCCCCUGCGCGCCGGAGCCCUCCCUCUCGGCUCCCCCCGCGCGGGAGCUCCCCUGCUCGGCUCCCCUGCGCGUCGCCGGAGCUGCCUCGGCCCACACCUCCACCGCGUUGCUUCCCUCUCCUUGUUCCCUUGCUCGUUCCCCAUGGUGAACCAUGGGAAGGAGAAGUCUCGAUUUUUGUUCUCGAUCUGCUCUCCGACGACGUCGGCCUUCCCCGAGCUUGGCGAGCUGGAUCUGUCCCUUCCCGUCGUCGAUCUGCUCUCCGCGACGCCGCCUGCCUCCUCGGACCAUCCCCUCUCGCUCAGCCGCGACUCCCUCCCUGGAGCAGCCGCUCCCGCCCAACCCAAAGCCGCCGGCCGGAGCUACGCCGCAGCACGCUCCCUCCCUCCUCUUCUUGGGGACCGGAUUGUGGCCGAGGAGGAGCUUGCCCUUGUCGCCCAGCAGCUCCCGCUCCAACGGGCUCGUCCACAAGUCCGGCAGCACCAGCCGCUCUUCCCUCUUCCGGUCCGCCCUCCUCCCUCCCCUCCCCUCCCGUGGCAUGCUCUAUUCUGUUAUCUUCCUUCUUUCUUUGUCCUGAUGAUUUUUACUGAUGGAGUUGUACACAUAGGCGACCCAAAUCCAACAUUUUAGUAAGAUUUGUACUGUCUCAAAAUUCACCCAUGAACCAUGACUCUGAAAUUAGUACUGUCUCAAAGUUCAAUAAGAUUUGCUCAUUGUUGCGCAGUACUAAAUCAUGGAUUAUAUUGUGGCUCUGCAGGUCUAGCCCAUCGACUCCUCCUCCUCCUCCUCAUGCUCAUCGGACUCGUGCACAAGUGCUCUGCAAGUCUGCAUUGGGUAAAGUCUGAAUUUUUCAUUUUUACUACCGUCAAAAUUCAGUUGACAAAGAAAGUUCCAUCAACAUGUCAGUGGCCAUGCUAGACAGAGUUCUUAUUCAUGUCUAGGCAGAGUUCUUAUUUAUGACAAAACUGGAUGUCUAGACAGAGUUCUUAUUCAUGUCUACUCCAUCAGUAAUUGUGUUAGAAUCAAAACUGCUUCCCAUAUGAACUUUACUGAAAAAAUCAGUCACCAUUCUGAAUUUUGACAGUACUCUACAAACUGCUUCUGGGCAGGAAGCAGAUACAGUUUUUCUUGGUGGGCGUGGUUUUGGAACAGCCAUGUCUUCUCUAAUUUUGACAGUGCUUGAGUUUAGAGUAUGGUUAUACUUUUGCUUAGGGUAAGUUAACACGUCUCUUUCUACAAUUUUUAAAUGCUUCUUGUCAGGAAGGGAAUUAUGUUUGUAAGGAUAGUGUAUUUUGCAAAGGCUUUUGUACUUGUUGUUUUUAUGUCUAACUACCAACUGUCUAUUCUUAAAUAAAAACAGCAGGGUAAUUGCUUAUCUUACUAGUGCUCCUGAUUAUGAAGAUGGUCAACUAGACACUAAGAGAUAUGGUGAGCAAUAUGCUAGCAAAGGGGAAGAUGUUGACCUCAUGUUGCUCCCUGAGCAGAUACCUUCCUAUAGAGAUCCGGUAAGCUUGUGCUUCUUUUGCAGUAAAAAAAAUUUUCUAUCCAUUAGUGAAAUUUUGAAACAGGCCACUGUGGUGCUGUUGUUGUUCAAGGACGAGUAUGUGUACACAUAUUUGCAGGCGAAUGCUAUCCUGAGAUUGACUUACAGUUAAUUGCUAUCCUUAGAUUGACUGAACUUCAGUACAUUACUUCUGUUCUGACUUGAAGAUGUCCUCGAAUGCCAAAUUGCUCUACAGACUUUGAACCCCUUUCAUUUUCUUCCAUGUAAAGUUUUUUUUAAAUGGCAGUGGAUGUUGAGUAAUCUAUGCUAGCAAUGUGAUGUUAGAGAAAGGCGUAUUUCUAGACCUGCUUGUAAAUUACUCCACACAAACAAUUGCAUUUUUCUAGACCUGCUUGUAAAUUACUCCACAAAAACAAGCAAAUUCAGUAGACAUUUUUACAAGAAUUCAGUAGAUUUCUUCCCAUGGUUGCUAUUUAUUUCUCUUGACCCCUGGUAAUUACUCUUGGCCCCUGGUACUCCAAGAAGACUAUGCAGUUAUCCUAGACUAUUGCAAUCAUCCUUCCAGGUAGCAAUGGUCCUUGGGUAUAUUUCAUUCUGUGUGCUAACUAGAGAAGACAUGGCAUGCAUGCAUGCACAUAGGCUGUACUUGUUGAACAGGGUUUUUUUUACAUGGAAAUAUUGGUUUACUCUAAUCCACCCAAACUCAGUCUUCAUUUUACUGAAUUUAGAUUAGAUGUUGCCUUGUUUCUACCGGGAGAAGAUGUUGGUUUAUUCUUUAUUUUGAUUGUUGUGGUUGCUCGACAAGUUGCCUCUCAGAUUAUUGCUCUCAGUGCAAACUGGAGUAGAUUAAUGAAUUUGGAGUGUGUGGUCUGUGAUGGGCUCAACUCUUCCUCCUGAUGCUGUAAAACAAUCUUGUUCCACUGGAUGGAUGGAGCCUCUUUUUUCAUCUGAAAGACACCCCACAUUUCUGAAGAUAGAUACACCUAUAGUUUCAGCAGUGAAGUAGUACCACACUCUGAUCUGAUCUGUUUCCAAUUGUAAUAAAAGUUGGUUAUUUACUUAUCAGCUGAGUACAAGUAGUGGAGAUUGACUAGUUGUUUCCUUGUGCAAGGUUCACAGCAAAAAACUGGUGUUGAAUUCGCCGCCGGCUCCGAGACCUCGACCGGACGGACGGAAGGCGGAUUGAAAUUGUUGCUAUGGCGCCGUAUAUUAUAUGCAGUCCCACGUUUUCCUCUUCCUUUAUUUAGGUGAGCAUCAUCACAAAACAUGCAUCGUCAGACAGGUGUAGGUUGACUGAAUAUUGACUGAAUAUUGGGCAGGUGAUAUUGAUCUGAGCAGGAUUUGUUUUUAUCUCUGAAUUUGUAUGAUAUGUGAACCCCAAAACAUGGAUCGUCAGACAUGUGUAGGUUGAUGCCCCUCCAUUUUUCACAUCACAGACUAGACUAGGUGAUCAAUUUCUUUUUAAAUGCUAGGAAAAGGGGAGGUGUUCACCAUUCUAUAGAGAGCAGAAAGAUUGAUGGCUAGGGAAACUCAUGGAGAAAAGAAGACAAAGUUCUUCAGUUAACAUUGACUGACUGAAUAUCUACUGAUUUUUUCAGUUAACUCAUGGAGCAAAUCCUUACAGUACCUUCUUCCUGAUGAAUGUAGCUCUGGCGGCAGCACGGGCAGACAAGCAGCAGCAGUACGGGUAGACGAGCAGCAGCAGUACGGGUAGAUGAGCAGCAGCUGUACAGGCAAAGGAGCUCCACCGGCGGCAGGGGACAAGCAUCCGCGCGGGCGCGCGGGCAGGGGAGAAGGAGCAGCACGAGCUUGCGCGGGAGAUUGAAGAAGACGCGCGGGAGAUCGAGGAUCACACGCGCGAGCUCCCGGUCCACUAGAUCGUGGCGGCAGGCUCCGGCGACGCCGGUAGGGGAUCGCGGCGGCGCACGCGUGGGAGCUCCAGCAGGAUGCGCGGGAGCACGAUGGAGGACACACGCGAGCUUGAGGAGGAUGCACGGGGGUUCCAGGAGGGACGCGCGUGGCAGGAGAUUCCCGCGAAGCCCACAGGCAGCGAGAGGGGACUGCCGGCGCAGGUCUAGGCUGCGGCGGCAGAGGAGGUAAUUGGCGACGACGGCGAGAGCAGGUACUUGGCGAAGGUGAGAGCAGGUACUUGGCUACGGCGGAGGAGCUCAGCUGGGCUCGCCGGCCCCUCGCGAAUCAAGCAGCUGGGCGGCGCCGGCCCCUGGCGACGCGCAGGCGACGGGCAGAGGAAGAAGACGGGGCGGAGGGACUUGUUCGAAACGCUUUUCAAACCACAAGGUUUUUUUUGUAAAAUUACCAGUGAACUACGCCCGCGGCAUGUUUUUCGGGAUGGAGGGAGUACAAGGUAGAUAAAGUAUGGGGCUGUUUCAUCAGCUCACACAAAGGAACAUGCAAGACGCCGAAGUUGUUUCAAGGCAGGCUAGCUGUAGUACACCAGGUAGAGAGGAAUAAAGGCAGUGACCGCGCAGUGCCCCUCGCGCGCUAUAAAAGGAGGAUUGAGGGCUGCGAAACACACACACACACACACACACACACACACACAGAGAGAGAGAGAGAGAGAGAGAGAGAGACAACACCAGACUCUAGAGCAUCGCAACAUCCAAGCACCACAACCCUCACACUCCUCGGUAGUCGUAGUAGUAGUAGCUGGCUCCAGUUGUCAUAAAGCUUUUGAGGCAUUGUAUCUCCCCGAGGUGGAGGUAGGCAAAAGGUAGUCUUCUUUUCUCUUUGUAAUCCCUUCGGGGUCUCCCGAAAGGAAAUUCUGUAUGUAAAUUAUGUUGUCGAAAUGAAGUAGUUUUGUGUUUCACUUGGUCUUUCUAUUAUGAAUCUAUGAGGUGAGUUCUUACGCUAGGCAUCCUAUAGGAGAAACCUCUGCUGGUAGUUCUCUGUUUAGCCUGUGCGGUGUCUGUUGAGAACCUUAUAGCCGUAGAGAAGCAUUCCCAUCGGGUGGAACUGCCUGGGAAGACAGUGGGAACCUAUCCCAUAAAUUUACAAUAUAAACAUCAAGUGAAAGAACUUAACUGCUUCUGAAGCAACAUAGUGAUAAAUACGAAGAGUCAUUGGUUUCGCCAACCCGUAAAAGAUCUUGAAUAAACACUUAAAAUAUAAUAAUUAGCAAAUUAAGGUAAUUACUAAGCCAUUAAUUAAAUAAAUUGUAAUAUUAAAUAAUUUUGAAUUUUUUAAUUAACUAAGUUUUCAUACUAAAUAAUCUUGUAUUUUCCAUAUUUAAUAAUUUAUUUUUAAAUAUUUGUGUUUUGGUAUCUCAGCCAGAGUUUAAAUCAUUGAAAGACUAAAGUAUUUGAAUUUAGAAGUUAGUUCAGGUAGAAUAAUUUCUAUGAAAGAAAAUAUUAGCAUACGGUACAGAAUAAAUCCUUCUGAAGAACAUGCGUGGCAUACUUCUAAUAGCCAGCUAAAUUUAAUUGUUGACCUCAUUCAUAACUUUUAUAUAUCUUGGGGAAAUAGGCAAGCUAAUUUAGAUAAAAAUUUGAAAGUCUGCUAAGAGAACAUCAAAAGUUAGCAGAAAAAUACGCAUGUUUGAAUAAUAAAAAUUUUCUAGUUCUACAUAAAUUAGAAUAAUUGAAAGAAACAAUCUUAUAGUUUGUAAAAAUAACAAUUAUAUUAAAACGGAGGUUUUAUCCAUAGGAAAGAAUCUAAGUGGUGUCCUAAAUAGAAGUAAAGAUUCAUUAUCAGGUGCUGAAAUAAGACGCGAUAUAAUUGAAUUAAAAAGUUAGUACAAGAAGUAAAGAUUAGUCAUAUCAUAAUUUGCAUUGAAUAUAGCCAAGCAUUAAAAGAAGUAGAAAAGUACUUAACACCUCUUGUUUAAAUUUUCAGAUCACGAUUCACCAAAAGAAGACUCCAGAAUAAUAAUAUGGCGGAAUAACACGGUUCUGCAGCUACUAGUCCAAAUUUUGGAGAAACUUAAUACUAAAUGAGGUAAUAAUGAGUUGGUAUUAUCUUCAUCCGGAAUAGUCUCAUCCUCUAAAAAUAUCAAUUCAGAAAAAUGGAACUAUCUAAAAGCUUCUCUAGAAGAGACAAGACCAUCCAGUUAAUAAGGUAAGAUUCAAUACCGCUAACCAUGAUAUAUAGGAUAUCAUGCAAGGGUGACAACAUGAAUAAUUUAGAAGAUGUUAUAGACAUGGAACACGAAUUAGAAAGAUACCAGAGAGACACGUUAAGAAAAAUAAGACCGCACCAGGUAUAUCACAUGGGUAUAUUUGAAAGUAAAAAUGGAUUAUGUAGAAUAUCUAGAGAAAUAGAACUAAGUGUCUUAACGCAUUGAGAACAAAUUUAAAUAUUCGAGUUAUAAAUAUAUUCACGAGGCAUUUAUAUUGUAGGAGUCAAAGGAAUGGCAAGAAAAAGUUAGGAAUGAAGGUUAUAAAUAUAUUACUAGAUAAAAGAUGGGAGUCGGUAGACAAAGCAUCCUUAGGCUUUAAGGAAGCAGAUAUGAAUGAUAAUAGAUUAAUAACAUAUAUAACUCCAGACUUAAUGAUGCAUGUAAAAGAAUUUAUUUGAAAAAAUGAGAUUUGGUUUUCAACCAAAGGAUAUGAAGAUUUUAAAGGAAAACAAUUUCUUAUUAAGCAUUGAAUUCAUAGGAAGUCUCACUAAUAAAACCAGCUCUAGAUACAAAGUAAACGUAAAUGAUGUAAUAAAAAGUAUAAAAUCUAAAGGCAUAAAAUUUAUGAGCCCUCUUAAAAUUGGCUCUGAAGAGAGAGAAGGAGAGGAAUGGAAUAUAAGUGAACUAAUAGAGAAGAAAGAGUUAAAGCAGCCAGAAAAAUAUAUAAGCUAUCAAAAUAGCGAAGGAAGUAGUAGCAUUAGGUUCAUGAACUAUUAAUCUGCAGCCUUAGACGAUAUGAAUCUUUAUGUCAGAAACAGAGAGUAGUGAUAGUGAGAAUAAUGGAGAAUAACAAUGCAUGGAAAAGGCGGUUUUACAAUAUGAAUUAAAUCAUUAGGAAUAAAAAUUGAAAUGUAUAAACUGGGAAUAUAAUAAUUCAAUGACAUUAGAUUGGCCUAAAAUAAGAGAAAGGGAAUUACUAUUUAUUAGAGAAAUUGUGAGGUUAAAAUAUUAAUAAAGGAUAAAAGAACGACCAUUAGUUACCCAGUGGUGUCAUAGGAUAAUACAAAUCCAGAAGAAAAUAUUUAAAAUAAAAACAAAACCGAAAGUCACAAGGAGAAAGCCAUCUGUGAAGAAGAGCAAUGGGAUACCAAUAAUAAGCUAUUAUUAGAAAGUUAUGAGGAAGAAGAAGAAACGUGGGAUGAAUAUGAAGAUGAAAACUAUAUUGAUUCUGAGAAAAAUGCUGGCUUUAUAAGCUCAUUAGAUGAUGAAAGUUUGCAUAACUUAGAAAAUGUGAUGGAAGCUACGGAAGUAGAUUUACGUAAUAACAAAAAAAGAAUAUGGUGAGACAUCCGUAAAGAGAGAAGGAGAAAGAGAUAGACCUACUCGAUCAGCAGGAAAAUGGCCUCCUGAAAAACAUGAUUAUCAACCUACAUAUAUCCCUGGACAAUAAACAUUUAUGGUUUCUAAAAGAAGAGGCUAUGAAAGAGUAGUGCAGUUUCAAAAUUCUAGGAACGAUUGUGCAAUUCUAAAUUUGGUAGGCCUUGACCCUGUAGAUUGGCCAAAUAUAAUUAUUGUUUGGAAAGGACUAAUAUUUUAAAAACAUAUAUAAAACCAAUAUAAUAUAGGGAAUAAGGUAGAAGAUAUGAUAACAUAUCUCGACACAUUUUUAGGAGAAUCCAUAAAAUUUUUGUGGGAACAAUGGGUAGAGACAUAUCCCAACCAAUAUGAAGUAUUUAGAAAGGGCUGGAAGUAAUCCUAAUAAUUUUGUCAAUGUCAUAUCAAAUAUGGUCAUAGCAGAAGAUCUAGAAUUUGGUCAUAUGACAUUGCAAAAAGAAAGGCUGAGAGAAUUAGAAAAAAUAACUUUAACAAGUUGGAAAGGUAUAGAAGAAUUCUCUCAACAUUAUUUAUACAACGCUACCACGGGUAAGCAAGGCUACAGUACAGGUGUGGUUGAAAGGUAUUUUAAUAAAUUACCGGACCCCUUAUGAUCAAUAAUAUUUGAAGAAUAUAAGAAACACACUACGAGCAUAGAACAUAAAUAUAUCCCAAGCUAUAACUUUGUGUUUAAACAUCUAAGAAAGGUAUAUAAAAGUAUACAAGCCCAGAGGUGUAUGAAGAAAUAAGUUAUAACUUCUGUAAUAAAAUUGUACAAAUACAACUAACAUAUAGCGAAGAAAGACAGAAGAAUAAGAAAUAUUAUAAAACACAAAGGAGAGAUAAUAUAAAUUUCAUAACAAAGAAAAGAUAUUUCUUAAAGAGAUCAAAUAAUAGAGCACCAUUCUUGCAUAAGCGAAAUGUUAGAAGAUAUAAUCCUAGAAAAUCCUACGAUAAAACAUGUAGGUGUUUCAUAUGCAAUUCACCCAAUCAUUUAAGUAAAACUUGCCCUAAUAAAGAUUAGAAGAGGUACUCUAGUAACUAUGAAUAGCAAGAAACAAUAUUAAUUAUAGAUAGUGUUAAUGACAAUAUAUUAGUACGCGGUGAUGAAAUAAAAGAUGACGAGUCAGUAUACUCCAUUGUAGAAACAGAGGAAGUAGAAAAUGAAGAGCUAGAAGAAGAAUCUAGUGAAGAUGAAAUAGAUUUAAUAGAUGAUUUAUUAGGACUAAAAAUAGAGAUGGUGAACCAAGUAGAUUGUGAACAUGCUUGGCUCAGGGGAAAGGGUGAUUACAAUAUAAAAUGUGCCUUCUGGAUAUAUUACCCAAUUCAACAGAAUAGGUAUACAUGUAGUUUGUGCUUAAGACAAGUUUGUAACUCCCGCCUAAAACCAAAAGUGGAGACAAGAAAUAGAAUAUGAACCCAAAGAAAGAAUAUUAUCUAGCAGAGUUAAGAAAUAUAGAAAAUAGACUAAAUAAAUUCGAAGCGGAACUAGAAGAUCUAAAAUCUAAUUUGGAAAAAUAAGGAAAAUACAGAGCAAGAGAACAUUGUAGUAGGAGGCAUUGAAAUGAAAGAGAAAUGAUAAUGGUAAGAGAUAAAAAUGGAGAUAGGUUAAUUGAAUUAAAAGAUGCUACAACUAGUUUUCGAAAUAAAUAUAUAGUAAGACUCCCAUAUAAAGAUGUUCUAGGAAUAAGGAUUCCGGUAAGAAUAGUUCAAAAACAAAAUAUUUCCUAUAAGAUUUUAGCCUUGUUAGAUACAUGUUGCACUAAAAAUCAUUCAUGACAAGUAUUUCAUUAAUUAUGACAAGUAUUUCAUCAGGUAUUAUGUAAAUAUGAAGAGCAAGGAAGAGUAUUAACUAUAGAUAGUGUUAAUGAGAAUAUAUUAGUAUGCGAUGAUGAAAUAAAAGAUGACGAGUCAAUAUACUCCAUUAUAGAAACAUAUGAAGUAGAAAAUGAAGAGCUAGAAGAAGAAUCUAGUGAAGGUGAAAUAUAUUUAAUAGAUGCUUUAUUAGGCCUAAAAAUAGAGACGAUGAAUCAAGUAGAUUUUAAACAUGAUUGAAUUAGGGUAAAGGGUGAUUAUAAUAUAAAAUGUGCCUUUUGCAUAUGUUACCCCAGUCAAGAGAAUAGGUAUACAUGUAGUUUGUGCUUAAGACAAGCUUGUAACUCCUGCCUCAAAUACACUAAUCAAAAGUGGAGACAAGAAAUAGAAUAUGAACCUAAAGAAAGAAUGUUAUCUAGUAGAAUUAGAAAUCUAGAAAAUAGAGUAAAUGAAUUAGAAGCAAAACUAGAAGAUCUAAAAUCUAAUUUAGAAAAUAACGCAAAUACAGAGCAACAGAACAUUGUAGUUGUAAGCACUGAAAUGAAAGAGCAAAUGACAACCGUAAGAGAUAAACAUGGAGAUUGGUUAAUUCAAUUAAAAGAUGUGAUAACCUAUUUUGGAAAUAAAUAUAUAGUAAUACUGCCAUUUAAAGAAGUUCUAGGAAUAAGGAUUCCGGUAAGAAUAGUUUUGAAACCAAUUAUUUCCUGUAAGAUUUUAGCCUUGUUAGAUACAGGUUGCACAAAAAAUAUCAUUCAUGACAAGUAUUUCGUUAGGUGCCCUAAAAUAGUUAAGACUAUAAAUGAUAAUAAAGCCAAGGUAUCUAUGGAUAUGUCUGGUAUAAAGAAAAUCCAUAAGCACUUAGCAUAUAAUAUAUAAACAAAUAUUAAUGAUAGAAAAUAUAUGAUAGAAAAAAAUCACAACCAGAGACCUAUCUGUAAUAAAUGAUGACAUGAUAUUAGGAUUAAGAUUUUUACAACAUUCUCUCCAGACCACUUUUAUACGUGAGGAAGGUGUUACAUUUCUCCCCUAUCAAGAUAAUGUUCCUUACACACCUGAGGUACGAAAACAAAUAAAGGCCAUACAACUAGCUGAAAUAUUCAACUCGAAAGGUGAAUAUGGUACUAUAGCAGAUUUUCCUGAAACCUGUAAUGAAGAAGAUCUUUGUGAAGCUAUAGAAUAAUAUCAUAUAGAAAAUACUUCCGCAGAGUGCAUAUGACUACAAUCAUUUGCACCACAUUGGUAUAGAGAUACGAAGUCCAAUAAGGAUAUAGACAAGAUAGUGCAGAGGUUAGAAGAUAUACAAAUUAUUGGAGAAAUACCAAUGAAGCAUUGGGAUAAGAACUCCAUAAUUUGAAAGAUAAACAUCAGAAACCAUGAUUACAUAAUCAAAUCGGGUUCAAUUGAAGCUACACCAAAAUAAAUAAAGGAAUUCAAAAUGUAUAUUAAAGAAUUUUUAAAAGUAAUACCAAUUAGAGAAAGUAAAAGCCCUCAUCGUUCAACUUCAUUAAUAGUUAGAAAUCAUGCUGAAGAAGCUAGGGGUAAGUCUAGGAUGGUAAUUAAUUUUAAAAGACUUAAUGAUAAUACGAUAGAUGAUGCAUACAAUAUACAUAAUAAACAAGAAUGGAUCAAUAGAAUACGAGGGAGAAAAUACUUUUCAAAGUUUGAUUUAAAAGAAGGAUUUUUACAAGUAAACAUGGUAGAGGAAUCUAUAACUUGGACAGCUUUCACUUGUCCACUAGCCUAUUAUGAAUGUCUAGUAAUGACAUUGGGGCUAAAGAAUGGACCUGCAUUAUUUCAAAGAAAAAUGCAGAACAUAUUCAAUGAGAAUCGAGCAUUCAUAUUGGUCUAUAUAGAUGAUUUGUUGGUCUUUUCAAAAUCAUAUAAAGAGCAUAUAGGUCAUCUUGAAGUCUUCUUUAGAAAGGUAGAACAAAAUGGACGCAUUCUAUCUAAAAAUAAAAUGGAAUCUGUAGAGACAAAAUAAAUUUCCUUGGUCAUGAAAUAGGAGAAGGAAAAAUAGAAUUACAAGAACAUUUUGCAAAGAAAAUUUUGUACUUCUUUGAUAACAUGAAUGAUAAAAUAGUUCUACAAAUAAAAAUAGGAAUUGUAAAUUAUACAAGGAAUUAUAUAGAUAACUAGGAAAAGCUUAUUGGACCUUUAUAUGCUAAAGUAAGAAAGAGUGGUGAAAGGUAUUUCAACUGAGAAGAUAUAAAAUUAGUAAGGGCCACUAAAAACAAGGUCAAGAAUUUGAGACCUCUAGAAUUACCAAUAGAAGACUAUUACUUCAUAAUUAAAACCGAUGCAUCUAAAGUAGGUUGGGGUGCUAUAUUAAAGCAAAAUCCCAACAAAUAUUCUCCGAAAGCUGGGGAGAAAAUAUGCAGAUAUGCUGCACGGGGUUAGAAAUUAAAAACAAUAAAUAAUAUUGAUAGAGAAAUUCUUGCAGUGAUUCACGCAAUUAACGCUUUUAGAUAAUACUAAGGGUUUAAGUAAUUUACAGUACGAAUAGACUAUGAAGCAAUAUAUUGAUAUUAUAAUCAAAUUAAUAGUAAUAAAAGAUUUACUAGAAAAUGGGUAUUAUUCGAAGAUACUAUAGCAGAGAAUUGUUAUAAAGUAAUAUUUGAACAUAUCAAAGGGAAGGAUAAUAGUUUACCAGACAUAUUCUCCUGCUUAUCAAUUUUGCAGAAAAGAAGAAAUGAUCUCUUCCCAGAGGAUAUGAAGCUUACAUAUUUGGAGAAGAAAAUGAGCUCAAAAUAUUUGCACUAGGCACAUUCAACUUCAAGCCAGAAAGUCAUAUCAAUAUUAAUAACAUCCAGAGGUGCAUACUAGAUAAUUUCUGGUAUCAAUACACCAAUAAAAGAGAACACAAAUGGUACAUGCUGGAAAUUCUUAGUAGCCUAUCUGAAUACUUUAAUUUAUGGAACAAAGGCACCCCCAAAGCAGCACAAAAGGAAGUGCAAAAAGAAAAGGUGCUAUAUAUAAUAUUUGAUGGAAGUAAACCAAGAAUAUAUUUGAGCUUUGAAGAUGUUUUUUUAGCAUCAGUACAGACACAAGCGCUCAUAUACACGCGCAUACACUCACCACUAUGAACGCACACACGCACACCGUACCCCUAUGAGCACUUUCGAGAGACUGAGCCGACAUAUCAUCUUGAGAUUUAUGAAGCAACCGUAGGCGCCUCAUCGUCGACGGGAACGUCUCCUCCCACUGAAAGUGCAUCGCCGGAAAUCCUGAAAUAAAUCCAGGAAUAAUGCGAGCACCAGGAUUUGAACGCUGGUGGGUUGGGGAUACCACUGUCCACCUAACCAUCUCAACCACAGGUUGAUUCGCUUUUGAAGAUGUUUUAAAAGAUAAAUUAGAUGCAUGGCGAAAGAAUGAAGACUUAUCACGAAAAAGAUAUGAUGAUUACAUUGAGGCCCUAAAAUGGGCAAGAAGCUUAAUAGGGAAAAAUUAUCAUAUAUACCCAAAAGCUAAAGAAUAAUCGAAAGUUGGAGAGGCAUAUGUAGCAACAUGACCACUCCAUCUUUUCCUAAAUAUACAAAGGGAGAAGCAUCAAGAUCCUAGAAGGUUAAAGAAGAAGAUUCCCCUAAAUAUGAGACAUAUAAAGAAAUCCUUGUCAAAGGAGUCGAUCAUUUAGAUGGUGAAUAUAUAGACUCCAAGAUAAAUGAAAAAUUUGAAAAACUUGCAAAAAUCAAUGAAGGAAGAACUCAAAGAAGAAAUUAUAAAAGAAUUACGAUCAGAAAUGAAUGAAAAUUUUGAAGAAGUAAAGAAAUAAUAUGAUCAAAAAUAUGAUACCAAUACUUUUGAGACAUAGCAUAUGAACAUUGCUGGACACGGGCAACCAAUUGAAUAAAAGAGGUAAAAUUAUAAUCAAAUAUAUUAGAAAAUGAAUUGAUAUGAAUAUCAAUUAUACGAGGGCGGAGGUCCUAUACCAGAACAUUGAUGGAAUAUGAAAUAUUGAUAAGGUAUUAUCAAUAAUAUGGGCUGGCUAGACCCAUACCCAUAGAAAAAUUCGAAAACAAUAAAAGUAGGUAAAUUAUAAUAAAAAUAUAAACACAACAAGAAUAAUUAUGCAAGAUGCAAGCAUGCAACAUCCGUAUCAGGAAGGUCAAACAGAGGAGUUAAGCUAAACUCCUCAAUCAAGAAAAGACCCUUCAUACAAUUUAAAAUAUUGGGUCGUGCAUGAAGACUAAUAUAUACAACCGUGCACGAAUGACUCAUACAAUGGUGCAUGCAAGACUUGGAAUUAAAUAUCAUGGCAAGAGCUGCAAUGAGGACAAGAGCUUCAGUCUGGACAAGAUCAUCUGUCAAGACAAGGUUUCCAGUCUGGACAAAAUCAUCUGUCAAGACAAAGAUUUUAGUCUGGAAAAAAUCAUGUGUCGGGACAAAGAUUUCAGUCUGAAAAAAUUGUUUGUCAAGACAAAGCCUACCAUUAAAAAACUUCGGUGUCUUACAUGUUCCUUUGUGUGAGCUGAUGAAAUAACCCCAUAUUUUAUCUGCCUUGUAGUUUGCAUAGUAAAGCAUCUUUGUGUUGGAUAGCCAUGCAUGAUUCCGAUGCGUGACUGAGUUUUUGUCUUGACAAAGGAUUUUGUCCAGACUAAAUUCUUUGUCCUGACAUAUGAUUUUGUCCAGACUGAAAUCAUUGUACUGACAAAUGAUUUUGUCUAGACUGGAAACCUUGUCUUGAUAGAUGAUCUUGUCCAGACUAAAGUUCUUAUCUCCAUUGCAGCUCUUGCCAUGAUAAUUCGUUCCAAGUCUUGCAUUCACCCUUGUAUGAGUCAUCCAUGAUGGCUGAAUAAUUUAGUCUUCAUGCAUGACCCAACAUUUUAACUUGGAUGAAGGGUCUUGUCUUGAUUAAGGAGUUUAGCUUAACUCCUCUCCUUGAUCUUUCCUGAUACGGAUGUUACAUGCUUGCUUCUUGCAUAAUUGUUCUUGCUGCAUUUAGAUUAUUAUUAUAAUUUACUUACUUUUAUUCUUUUUGAUUUUUUUUCUUUGGGUAUGGUCUAUCUAGCCCAUAUUAUUGAUAUUACCUUAUAAAUAUUUCAAUUCUAUCAACAUUCUAUUAUAGGUCCAUCGUGCCCGUAUUAAUUAUAUUCAUAUCAAUUCAUAUUCGAAUAUAUUUGAUUAUUAUGGCACCUCUAUUAUUUAAUUGGUUGCCGGUGUCCGACAAUGUCCAUAUGGCAUGUCUCAAAAAUAUUGAAAUCAUAUUUUUGAUCAUAUUCUUUCUUUAGUUCUUCAAAUUUUUCAUUCAUUUAUGAUCGCAAUUCUUUUAUAAUUUCUUCUUUCAGUUCUCCCUUCAUUGGUUUUGCAAGUUCUUCAAAAAUUUCAUUUAUUUUGUAGUCUAUAUAUUUACCAUCCAAAGGAUCAACCCCUUUGACAAGGCAUUCUUUGUAUGACUCAUCACUACUAGGGAAAAGCUUAUAGACAGACGCUUACUAGUAGCGCGAGUUUAUACCCCUCGCUACUGCUACUUACUAGUAGCGCGGAUUUUUACCCCUCGCUACUACUAAGUUGAUAGUAGUAGCGCGGGUUUUUAACCCUCGCUACUACUAAGCGAUCUCUACCGUGCCGCCCUGAGUCAUGCAAUAGUAGUAGCGAGGGGUAUAAACCCGCGCUACUGCUAAGUGAAUAGCUAUAGCGCAGGUAAAGAUACCCACGCUACUACUGAGCGUAUCCCUCCCUUGCCGCACCACUCCCACCCCGAUCCUAAAGAAAAAAAUUCCACUCCCACCCCAGCAAACUCUCUCUCUCCAACCUUACCCCACCCCUCAGUUGACUCAUCUCCCCCACGACCUCCUCGCCACCGCCAGCACCCACGCCGGCCGGUUCCGGCGAGCUCCGGCCGCGCGGAAUACGCCCCCAAGCACCCCAAGCUCCGCCCCUCCCCCCUCCUCCCAGAUCUGUGCCUCAAGGCCUGCACCCUUGACUUGAGGCGGCGAAGGGGGAGGCGGCGUCGGAGAGGAAAACGGCAAGGAGGAGCAGCAUGCAACUCUUCCACCCAACGGCCGCGGAGUCGUCGGUGCGGGCCGUCAGCCUCACCGAGAAGAGGAGCAGCAUGGCGGCAAGGACGACGAGGGAGAGGAGGUCGUGGCUGAGGACGAGGUGCGCGUACAGGUCCCUCACGCAGGCGCUGUUGGGGCGGAAGGCGUUUCUGAUGACGAAGAAAGUGGUGAGAUUAAUCCUGAGCUGCUCAAUCAUCUCACUAUCCCUCAGUUUAAUAUAUUCUUUUUCAAUCGAGGAUAUGCAAUUUUUCUUGAGUUGCUGAAGACAUUGGGCCAUUGGGGUAUGCCUCCGGUUAAUUAACCUAAGCAUAAGGGAAAAUGUUUAGCCUGCGAACUUAACAUACAUGCAGUAUGCAUGUGCCCUCCAUGGCAGAACUCCAUGGCAGAAACUGCCAUUUUUUGUUAAACAAGAGUCCUUGUUGGCUCAGUCGUGGAUCAUUUAGAACCGUCUAGUUCAGUCCCUGCCUGUUUAUGAGCUUCACAUGGCCUCCCAUUAUAGUUUCUGAAGGCAGGAAAAACCAUGUGAAAAUGAGAACAGAUGUACGGGCAUGGUUCUGUACAGGUGUUAGGUAAGUGUUUUUGCUGAUUGUGUGAAAUUUUGCAGGUACUGGUAGCAUGCUAUAUUAAUGCUUUGGACGAAAUUACAUUAUUCAUCACCCAUGCUCAGCUUAGAUAGGUACCUCAUCCCGUUGUCCCCUGAUCUCUGAAUCUCAAUGCUUUGGACGAAAUUACAUUAUGAAACUUAUAUGCAGUAAGGCCUAGAUUGGCAGUGCAAUUUUUAAAAUACCGCAGUAUUCGAAAAAUUCGGCAUCAUGUUUAACUAGUCUGGAGUAUGCUAUGCAGAGGCCUAGUUUGCCAUGUUGAUAAUAGUGAGUUACAAACCAAGCUUUCAGUUUGAGAAAAAAGAGGUCUGGACCUCUUUUUCUAGAAGUUAGAAAAAAACUGAAUUUGCAGAUAUUCAAGCUCUGGUGGAUGGAGUGUCUGUGCGUGAGCAGCGAGACGGCGGCUAAGGCUAGCGUGGAAGAGGUACUCUUCAGUUGCUUCAUUCGGUUUUACUUAGUUUUGUGUCCUUGUUGGAUGUACAUGUACCCCAGUUAAACAUGUGUGGUGCUUGCUUUGCCCAAUUUCCUGUUUAAGGAUUAGCUAUUGUAGGGCAGAUGCUAUGUAGAGAAUCAAUUAAUUUCCUCUAGAAAUGCUCGAGUGGUGAUUUGGCGAAAUUUGGAAAUACUAGUUCUGCAUCAUGGCAUGGAUACUGUUAAGGGAGAUAUCAUCUAUUUAUCCGGCCAAAGCGCAUAUGCGAAGCCUUUGAUUCGAGGUAAAAAUGGUGCAUCGCCUCUCCCUACAAGGUGUUAGUUUUAGCAUCUAGUUCUGCAUCAUGGCUGUAAACUGAACUUGGUUCAGUUAAAAACUGCACUGUCCAAUUUGGACAGCAAGCUUAGAUCUGAAAAAUGAGUUAGCUAGGCUUAGAAUUUUGAGUUGGCCCCUUUACAUAAGUUUUAGAUAAAGUUCCAAGGUUUCUUUAGAGUAUUUAUUUGUGUCAUUUGGAUAUACGGUUUGAGAGAAGCCAUCAAUUUAGUUUGUUGUCCCGAAAUAUAUGUUCCUAGGUACAGUAUUUUGAUAUGGGAGAUUAGGCCCUGUUAGAGGUGGUAUUAAAAUAAAGUUACAACAUGAAAAUUUUAGAGGCUGUUCCGUAGAUACUUAAACACAUAUCACUUGUCAGGUUUCGUUCGUUAUAUUAAAUACUAUGAAAUUAUCAAUGUGGGUUGUACUAUGUUGGACAGAAUUUUAUGUUUGGACUUGGGUGAAUGUAACCAGACUUAUACUCUCAGAUUUUUUUCAUAGUUGAUGGUUUGAGGACUUAUAAUGUGAUAAAGUAUAUACGUUGUUGCAACACCAAAAUCAGUGAAAUAUAUUUCCUUUUUUUUGCUGCCGAUGACAUCUCCAUAAAGUAAGGAUUUAGAUAACAUCAUAUGUUCAGAGUUCAGUUCUUUUCUUAUCUGAAACUAACAUAUUUUACAACGGGCAUGAUGGAUGUUGCAGGUUCAUUGAUGACAGCCAAGGGUUCAUGCUCGGAAAUGACUACAUCUUGCUCCAUGUUGUCAGCUCAGCUUUAGUCCUUAAUCAUGAGGAGAUGGGACACGUCGAUUGUUAGAGUACACUUGACAGGUGCAUUUUGUGAAAUUCUAGCCAGAAGAUUGAUAGCAUGCUUGCCUGCUUGUUCUUUUCAGUUCAAAUAAAUGUUCCUUUUCUUGUUGAAUCCAAAGUAGCUAGCGGAGAUCAAGUGGAAAGGUUGUUGAUUGUCCCAAAGUUCUUGGACCAUUUAGUUUGAAUAGCCAGUGAGGAAUUAAGCAUAUAUUUUCGGCAUGAGCCCCUUUAAAUUGCUAGAUGAGAAAGAAUCUUAACUUAAUUAAUGGGUCUUGUGAAUUCGAAUAUACCAUUUAGUUGAACUGAUGCAUAUAUUUUCACUUUCUCGACAUGGGCGCAAGGGUGAUCGACGCUGACUAGCGCAGCCGGUGGGCGCUGUGCUCUUCAACCACUUAGAGGCGGACUUCUCCGUGAAGUUGGUGGCCAUGUCGCGUAGAUGAUUGUCCAGGUGAUUUCGACGCCGGAGAUCGCCGAUGUGGAGGACCUCGACGCCACCAUCCGGGGGAGGGAGGAUUCGGGUCCACCGGUGUCUAAGCUCCGAGCCUUGGUAGAUACAUCUAGGGAAGUUGUCUGUUUAGGUUGGUGAUGGAACACCAGGGAAGGUACCCACCUUUCGAUGAUCAUUGUGUGUGUCUGAAGUUAAAUGGAAUCUUGAGAAUGUUAUGUGACGUUGGUUUGGUUUGCACUGGACGUAUUGCCAUCCAUGAAUACUACAUCUAACUUUUAUUUUUUUAAUUCCUAAAUUAUUAGUAGUAGCGUGGGAAAAAAAUGAGCCCUACUAGUAGUUAGGUUAGUAGUAGCAUGGGAAAUAAGAAAUGAGCCCUACUAGUAGUUAGGUUAGUAGUAGCGUGGGAUAUAAGUGAGCGCUACUAGUAGUUAGGUUAGUAGUAGCGCGGGUGCACCCGCGCUGCUACUAACUUUUAGCUGUAGCGCGAUACUAGUAGCGCGAGUACCCGUGCUACUAGUAGCAUUUUACCCGCGCUGCCAGUAGCCUUUUUCCUAGUAGUGCAUAUUUAGGGGAAUCUUCUUCUAUAACCUUCUGGGAGCUUCAUGCUUCUCCCUUUGUAUAUUUAGGGCAAGAUGGAGUGGUCAUGUUGCUACAUAUGCCUCUCCGACUUUCCAUACAUUCUUUAGCUUUUGGGUCUAUAUAAUCAUUUUGCCCUAUUAAGCUUAUUUCGCAUUUUAGGGCCUCAUUUUAAUCAUAAUAUCUUUUCCAUGAUAAGUCUUCAUUCUUUCGCCUUACAUAAAAUUUCUCUUUAAUACAUCUUCAAAGCUCAUAAAUAUUCUUUGUUUACUUCCAUCAAAUAUUAUAUAUAGUGUCUUUUCUUUUUGCACUUCCUUUUGUGCUGCUUUGGGGGUGCUUUUGUUCAAUAUAUUAAAGUAUUUGAAUAGGCUAUUAAGAAUUGCCAGGACGUAGCCAUCGUAUUCUUUUUUAUUGGUGUACUGAUACCAGAAAUUAUCUAGUAUGCACCUCUGGAUUUCGUUAAUAUUGCUAUGACUUUUCGGCUUGAAGUUGAAUGUGCCUGGUGAAAAUAUUUUGAGCUUAUUUUCUUCUCCAAAUAUGUAAGCUUCAUAUCCUCCGGGAAGCGAUCCUUUCUACAUUUCCACAAAAUUGUUGAGCGAGAGAAUAUGUCAGGUAAACUAUCAUCCUUCCCUUUGAUAUGUUCAAAUAUUACUCUAUAACCAUUCCCGGCUAUAAUAUCUUCGAAUAAUACCCAACUUCUAGUUGAACAUUUAUUACUACUAAUCUAAUUAUAAUAUCCACAUAUUUCUUCACAGAUGUUCAUAUUGUAAAUUACUUAAACCCUUAGUAUAAUCUAAAAGUGUUAAUUGCGUGAACCACCGCAAGAAUUUCUCUAUCUAUAUCAUUUAUUUUCUUUAAUGUGUAACUCCCCAAAGCAUAUCUGCAUAUUUUCUCCCCGGUUUUUGGCGAAUAUUUGUUGGGUUUUUGCUUUAAUAUAUCAACCCAACCUACUUUAGAUGCAUCGAUUUCAAUUAUGAAGUAAAAAUCUUCUAAUGGUUAUUCUAAAGGUUUCAAAUUCUUGACCUUGUCUUUAAUGGCCCUUACUAGGUUUAUAUCUUCUAAGUUAAAAUACCUUUGACCAUUGUUUCUUAAUUUAGCAUAUAAAGGUCCAGCAAGCUUUGCCAAGUUAUCUAUAUGAUUCCUUGGAUAAUUUAGAAUUCCUAAGAAUUGCUGCAAAAACUUUUUAUCAUUCAUGUUAUUAGGGAAUCGCAAGAAUUUCUCUAUCUAUAUUAUUUAUUUUCAUGACUAGGAAAUGUAUUUUGUCUGUACAAAUUUCCAUUUUCUGUUUAGAUAGAAUGAGUCCAUUUUGUUCCACCUUUCUAAGGAAGACUACAAGAUGAGUUAUAUGUUCUUCAUAUUAUUCUGAAGAGACCAGAAAAUCAUCGGCAUACACCAAUAUGAAUGCCUGAUUCUCAUUGAAUAUGUUUUGCAUUUUUUUUUGAAAAAAUACAGGUCCAUUCUUUAGACCCAAUGGAGUUGCUAGCCAUUCAUAAUGGCCUAGUGGACAAGUGAAAUCUGCCCAAGGCAUAGAUUCCUCUGUCAUCUUUAUUUGCCAAAAUCCAGCUUUUAAAUCAAAGUUUGAAAAGUAUUUGCUCCCUUAUAUUCUAUUGAUCCAUUCUUGUUUAUUAGGUAUUGUAUGCAUCAUAUACCGUAUUAUUAUCGUCAAGUCUUCUAAAAUUAGUUACCAUCCUAGACUUACCCCUAGCUUCUUCAGCGUGAUUUCUAACUAUGAACGCAACUGAACAGUGAGGACAUUUAUUUCUCUAUUUGCUCUUAAUUUUAAUAAUUCUUCAAUAUGCAUUUUAAAUUCCUCUAUAUGUUUUGGUUUAGUUUCAAUUGGGCCUGAUUUGAUUAUAUAAUCUGGGUUUAUGAUGUUUAUCUUACAAAUUAUGGAGUUCUUAUCCCAAUGCUUUAUUGGUAUUUCUCCAAUAAUUUGUAUAUCUUCUAACCUUUGCACUAUCUUGUCUAUAUCCUUUUUGGACUUUAUAUCUCUAUACCAAUUUGGUGCAAAUGAUUGUAGCCCUAUGCACUCUGUGGGAGUAUUUUCUAUAAUAUAUUCUUCUAUAGCUUCACUAAGAUCUUCUUCAUUACAUGUUUCAGGAAAAAACUACUUUUGUUUCAUAUUCAUCUAUCGAGUUGGAUAUUUCAUCUAGUUGUACGAACUUUCUUCGUUUUGGUAUCUAAGAUAUGUAUGAAACAUUAUGUUGAUAGGGGACAAAUGUAACACCUUCUUCAUGUAUAAUAGUGGUCUGAAGAAAAUGUUGUAAAAAUAUUAAUCCUAAUAUUAUGUCAUCAUUUAUUAUAGAUAAAUCUCUGAUUGUGAGUUCGUCCAAUACGUAUUUUGUACUAUUAAUAUAUGUUUCUAUAUCAUAUGCUAACUGGUUACAGAUUUUCUUUAUACCAGACAUAUCCCUAGAUACCUCAGCCUUAUUAUCAUCUAUAGUUUUAACUAUUUUAGGGAACCUAAUGAAAUACUUGUCAUGAAUGAUAUUUUUAGUGCAACAUGUAUCUAACAAGGCUAAAAUCUUAUAGGAAAUAUUUUUUUUAGAACUAUUCUUACCGGAAUCCUUAUUCCUAGAACAUCUUUAUAUGGGAGUCUUACUAUAUAUUUAUUUCGAAAACUAGUUGUAGCAUCUUUUAAUUCAAUUAACCUAUCUCCAUUUUUAUCUCUUACCAUUAUCAUUUCUAUUUCAUUUCAAUACCUCCUACUACAAUGUUCUCUUGCUCUGUAUUUUCCUUAUUUUUCCAAAUUAGAUUUUAGAUCUUCUAGUUCCGCUUCUAAUUUAUUUAGUCUAUUUUCUAUAUUUCUUAACUCUGCUAGAUAAUAUUCUUUCUUUGGGUUCAUAUUCUAUUUCUUGUCUCCACUUUUGGUUUUAGGCGGGAGUUACAAACUUGUCUUAAGCACAAACUACAUGUAUACCUAUUCUGUUGAAUUGGGUAAUAUAUCCAGAAGGCACAUUUUAUAUUGUAAUCACCCUUUCCCCUGAUACAAGCAUGUUCACAAUCUACUUGGUUCACCAUCUCUAUUUUUAGUCCUAAUAAAUCAUCUAUUAAAUCUAUUUCAUCUUCACUAGAUUCUUAUUCUAGCUCUUCAUUUUCUACUUCCUCUGUUUCUAUAAUGGAGUAUACUGACUCGUCAUCUUUUACUUCAUCACCGCGUACUAAUAUAUUGUCAUUAACACUAUCUAUAAUUAAUAUUGUUUCUUGCUAUUCAUAGUUACUAGAGUACCUCUUCUGAUCUUUAUUAGGGCAAGUUUUACUUAAAUGAUCGGGCAAUUUGCAUAUGAAAGACCUACAUGUUUUAUCGUAGGGUUUUUUAGGAUUAUAUCUUCUAACAUUUCGCUUAUGCAAGAAUGAGGCUCUAUUAUCCGAUCUCCGUAAGAAAUAUAUUUUCUUUGUUCUGAAAUUUCUGUUAUGUCUCCUUUGUGGUUUGUAAUAUUUCUUAUUCUGGUGUCUUUCUUUGCCAUAUGUUAGUGGUAUUUGGAUGACUUUAUUAUAAAAGUUAUAAUCUGAUUUCUUCAUAGACCUCUGGGCUUGUAUUCUUGUACAUACCUUUCUUAGAUGUUUAAACACGAAAGUUAUAGCUUGGGAUAUAUUUAUCUCUAUGACCGCAGUGUCUUUCUUAUAUUCUUCAAAUAUUAUUGAUCCUAAGGUGUCAGGUAAUUUAUGAAAAUACCUUUCAACCACACCAGCCUUGCUUAGGUGUGGUAGCAUUGUAUAAAUAAUGUUGAGAGAAUUGUUUUAUACCAUUCCAACUUAUUAAAGUUAUUUUUUCUAUUUCUCUCAACCUUCACAUGACCCAAUUCUGGAUCUUCUGAUGUGACCAUAUUUGAUAUGACAGUAGGAAAACUAUUAGGAUUAUUUCCAUCCCUUUUUAGUUCUUCAUAUUGGCCGGGAUAUUUCUCUACCCAUUGUUCCCAUCAAAUUUUUGUCGAUUCUCCUAAAAAUGUUUUGACAUAUAUUAUACUGGUUUUGUAUAUAUUUUUCAACUAUUAAUCCUUUCUACAUGAUAAUUAUAUUUGACCAACAGGGUCAUGGGAUGCCAAAUUUAGAAUUGCACCAUCAUUCGUAGAAUUUUGGAACUGCACUACUCUUUCAAAGCCUCUUCUUUUAGAACCCAAAAAUAUAUAUUGUCCAAGGAUUUAUGUAGAUUGAUAAUCAGCUUUUCAGGAGGCCAUUUUCCUGCUGAUCAAGCAGGUAUCUCUCUUUCUCCUUCUCUCUUUACAGAAGUCUUGCCAUAUUAUCUUCUUCUUUUAUUAUUACCUAAAUCUAGUUCCAUAACUUCCUAAUAAUAGCUUAUUAUUGAUAUCCCAUUGCUCUUCUUCACAUAUAGCUUUCUCCUUGUGACUUUCAGUGUUGUUUUUAUAGUUAAUUUUUUCUCCUGGUUUUAUAUUAUCAUUUGGCACCAUUGGGUUACUAAUAGCCGGUUUUUUAUCCUUUAUUAAUCUUUUUAACCUCGAAAUUUCUCAAAUAAAGAAUAAUUCCCUUUCUCUUAUUUUAGGCCAAUAUGAUGUUAUUGAAUUAUUAUAUUACUAGUUUAUACGUUUCAAUUUUUCUUCCCAGUGAUUGAAUUCACCUACUAAAUCUUCCUUUUGCAAGCAUUCUUUUCUACACUUAUUCUUACUAUCACUACUCUCUAUUUCUGACAUAAAAUAUUCAAUAUUGUCUAAGGUUGUGGAUUUACAGUUCAUGAACCUAAUGCUACUACUUCCUUUGCUAUUUUGAUAGCUUAUAUAAUUUUCUGGCUGCUUCAACUAUUUAUUCUAUAUUAGUUCACUUAUAUUCCAUUCCUCUCCUGCUCUCUCUUCAGAGCCAAUUUUAAGAGAGAUCAUAAAUUUAUGCCUUUAGAUUGCAUGCUUUCUGUCACAUCAUUUAUGUUUACUUUGUAUCUAGAGUUUCUUUUAUUAGUGAGUCAUCCUAUGAAUUAAAUGCUUACUAACAAAUUUUUUCCUUUAAAAUCUUCAUAUCCUUUGGUUUAGAAACCAACGCUCAUUUUUCAAUAAAUUCUUUUACAUGCAUCAUCAAGUCAGGAGAUAUAUAUGUUAUUUAUCUAUUUUCACUCAUAUCUCCUUCCAUAAAACCUAAGGACGCUUUGUCUGCCGACUCCCAUCUUUUAUAUAGUAAUGUAAUUAGUACCUUCGUUCCUAAUUUAUUUCUUGUCAUUCCUUUGACUCCUAUAAUAUACAUGCCUUGGUGAAUAUAUUUAUAACCCGGAUAUUUGAGCUCAUUCUCAAUACGUUUGCUAACAAUCAUUGAAUUGACUGGAUGCAUUAAGACAAUUAAUUCUAUUUCUCUAGAUAGUCUAUAUAAUUCAUUUUUAAUUUCAAAUAUACCCAUGUGAUAUACCUGUUGCGGUCUUAUUUUUCUUAACUUGUCUCUCUGGUAUCUUUCUAAUUCCCGUUCCAUGUCUAUAACAUCAUCUAAGUUAUCUAUGUCGUCACCCUUGCAUGAUAUCCUAUUUAUCAUGGUUAGCGGUCUUAAAUCUUGCCUUAUUAACUGGAUGGUCUUGUAUUUUCUAGAGAGGCAUUUAGAUAGUUCCAUUUUUCGGAAUUGAUAUUUUUAGACUAUUCCAGAUGAAGAUAAUACCAACUCGUUAUUACCUCGUUUAGUAUUAAGCUUCUACAAAAUCUGGACUUGUAGUUGUAGAAUCCUAUUAUUCUGCCUUAUAAUUAUUCUGGAGUCUUCUUUUGGUGAAUCGUGAUCUGAAAAUCCAACAGGAGGUGUUAAGUACUUUUCUACUUCUUUUAAUGCUUAGCUAUAUUCACUCAUGCAAAUUAUGAUAUGACUAAAGUCUUUACUUCUUAUACUAACUUUUUAACUUCAAGUAUAUUUCAUCUUAUUUCAGCACCUGAUAAUGAAUCAUUACUUUUAUUUAGGACACCACUUAGAUUCUUUCCUAUGGAUAAAACCUCUUUUUUUAAUAUAAUCAUUAUUCUUACAAAAUAUAAGAUUCUUUCCAUUCGGUUCUUCUAAUUUAUGUAGAACUAAAUCAAUUUAUUAUUCAAACCUCCGUAUUGUUUUGCUCACUUUUGAUGUUCCCUUAGCAGAAUUUCAAUUUUUUGGUCUAAAUUAUCUUUCCUUUUCCCCCAAGAUAUACAAAAGUUAUGAAUGAGGUCAAGAAUUAAAUUUAGUUUGCUAUUAAAAGUAUGCCAUGUAUGUUCUUUAGAAGGAUUUAUUCUGCACCGUAUGCUAAUAUUUUCUUUAGUAGAAAUUACUCUACCAGAACUAACUUCUAAAUUCAAAUACUUUAGUAUUUCAAUGAUAAAAUCUCUGGCUGAGAUACUGAUAACCCGCAAGUAGGGGAUCGCAACAGUUUUCGAGGGUAGAGUAUUAAACCCAAAUUUAUUGAUUCGACACAAGGGGAGCCAAAGAAUAUUCUCAAGUAUUAGCAGUUGAGUUGUCAAUUCAACCACACCUGGAUAACUUAGUAUCUGCAGCAAAGUAUUUAGUAGCAAAGUAGUAUGGAGGUACGGUAACAGUAGCAAAAGUAACAGUAGCAGUUUUGUAGUAAUUGUAAUAGUGGAAAUGGCAAAGUAACUAAGCAAAGCACAAUAUGUGAAAAGCUCAUAGGCAUUGGAUAGGUGAUGGAUAAUUAUGUCGGAUGCGAUUCCUCAUGUAAUAGUUAUAACAUAGGGUGACACAGAACUAGCUCCAGUUCAUCAAUGUAAUGUAGGCAUGUAUUCCGAAUAUAGUCAUAUGUGCUUAUGGAAAAGAAUUUGUAUGACAUCUUUUGUGCUACCCUCCCGUGGCAGCGGGGUCCUAUUGGAAACUAAGGGAUAUUAAGGCCUCCUUUUAAUAGAGUACCGGACCUAAGCAUUAACACUUAGUGAAUACAUGAACUCCUCAAACUACGGUCAUUACCGGUAAGUAUCCCGAUUAUUGUCACUUCGGGGUUAACGGUGUUGGGGAACGUUGCAGAAAAUUAAAAAAAAUUCUACGGUUUCACCAAGAUCCAUCUAUCAGUUCAUCUAAGUAACGAGUCAUGGGAGAGAGAUUGCAUCUACAUACCACUUGUAGAUCGCGUGCGGAAGCGUUCAAGGGAAUGGUGAUGAUGGAGUUGUACUCGCCGUGAUUCAAAUCACCGAUGACCAAGUGCUGAACGGACAGCACCUCCGCGUUCAACACACGUACGGUACGGACGACGUCUCCUCCUUCUUGAUCCAGCAAGGGGGAAGGAGAGGUUUAGGAAGAAGGCUCCAGCAGUAGCACGACGGCGUGAUGAUGGUGGAGAGGCAGUACUCCGACAGGGCUCCGCCAAGCGCUCAACGGAGGAGGAGAGGUGUUGGGGAGGGGAGGGGCUGCGCCUUGGAUCAGGUGUUCAGCCCUCCCCUCACCCCUCUAUUUAUAGGGGAAGGGGAAGGGGGCCGGCCCCAUCUAGAUGAGAUCUAGAGGGGGGCGGCGGCCAGGGAGGGGGCUUGCCCCCCAAGCAAAGGGGGUGCGCCCCCUUUAGGGUCCCCCCCCCCAACCUUAGGCGCAUGGGCCCAAGGGGGGGCGCCCAGCCCUCCAGGGGCUGGUUCCCUGCCCCAUGCGGCCCAUGUGGCCCACCAAGAGGGGUGGCCCCUCCCGGUGGACCCCUGGAACCCCUCCGGUGGCCCUGGUACAAUACCGAUAUGCCCCCGAAACUUUCCGGUGUCCGCAUGACAACUUCCCAUAUAUAAAUCAUUACCUCCGGACCCUUCCGGAACUCCUCGUGACGUCCGGGAUCUCAUCCGGGACUCUGAACAACAUUCGGUAAUCACAUACAAGUCUUCCUUAUAACCCUAGCGUCACCGAACCUUAAGUGUGUAGACCCUACGGGUUCGGGAGACAUGCAGACAUGACCGAGACGGCUCUCCGGUCAAUAACCAACAGCAGGAUCUGGAUACCCAUGUUGGCUCCCACAUGCUCCUCGAUGAUGUCAUCGGAUGAACCACGAUGUCGAGGAUUCAAUCAACCCCGUAUGCAAUUCCAUUUGUCAAUCGGUACGUUACAUGCCUGAGACUCGAUCGUCGGUAUCCCAAUACCUCGUGCAGUCUCGUUACCGGCAAGUCACUUUACUCGUACCGUAAUGCAUGAUCCCAUGACCAAACACUUGGUCACUUUGAGCUCAUUAUGAUGAUGCAUUACCGAGUGGGCCCAGAGAUACCUCUCCAUCAUACGGAGUGACAAAUCCCAGUCUCGAUCCGUGUCAACCCAACAGACACUUCCGGAGAUACAUGUAGUGCACCUUUAUAGUCACCCAGUUACAUUGUAACGUUUGGUACACCCAAAGCACUCCUACGGUAUCCGGGAGUUACACGAUCUCAUGGUCUAAGGAAGAGAUACUUGACAUUGGAAAAGCUCUAGCAAAACGAACUACACGAUCUUGUGCUAUGCUUAGGAUUGGGUCUUGUCCAUCACAUCAUUCUCCUAAUGAUGUGAUCCCGUUAUCAACGACAUCCAAAUGUCCAUAGUCAGGAAACCAUGACUAUCUGUUGAUCAACGAGCUAGUCAACUAGAGGCUUACUAGGGACGUAUUGUGGUCUAUGUAUUCACACAUGUAUUACGAUUUCCGGAUAAUACAAUUAUAGCAUGAAUAAAAGACAAUUAUCAUGAACAAGGAAAUAUAAUAAUAAUGCUUUUAUUAUUGCCUCUAGGGCAUAUUUCCAACAGUCUCCCACUUGCACUAGAGUCAAUAAUCUAGUUACAUUGUGAUGAAUCGAACACCCAUAGAGUUCUGGUGUUGAUCAUGUUUUGCUCGCGAGAGAGGUUUAGUCAACGGAUCUGCGACAUUCAGAUCCGUAUGUACUUUGCAAAUAUCUAUGUCUCCAUAUUGAACAUUUUCACGGAUGGAGUUGAAGCGACGCUUGAUGUGCCUGGUCUUCUUGUGAAACCUGGGCUCCUUGGCAAGGGCAAUAGCUCCAGUGUUGUCACAGAAGAGUUUGAUCGGUCCCGACGCAUUGGGUAUGACUCCUAGGUCGGAUGAACUCCUUCACCCAAAUUGCUUCAUGCGCUGCCUCCGAGGCUGCCAUGUACUCUGCUUCACAUGUGAAUCCCGCCACGACGCUCUGCUUGCAGCUGCACCAGCUUACUGCUCCACCAUUCAACAUAUACACGUAUCCGGUUUGUGACUUAGAGUCAUCCAGAUCUGUGUCGAAGCUAGCGUCGACGUAACCCUUUACGACGAGCUCUUCGUCACCUCCAUAAACAAGAAACAUGUCCUUUGUCCUUUUCAGGUACUUCAGGAUAUUCUUGAUCGCAGUCCAGUGUUCCUUGCCGGGAUUACUUUGGUACAUACCUACCAAACUUACGGCAAGGUUUACAUCAGGUCUGGUACACAGCAUGGCAUACAUAAUAGAUCCUAUGGCUGAGGCAUAGGGGAUGACACUCAUCUCUUCUUUAUCUUUUGCCGUGGUCGGGCAUUGAGCCGAGCUCAAUCUCACACCUUGCAGUAUAGGCAAGAACCCUUUCUUGGACUGGUCCAUUUUGAACUUCUUCAAAAUCUUAUCAAGGUAUGUGCUUUGUGAAAGACCUAUGAGGCAUCUCGAUCUAUCCCUAUAGAUCUUGAUGCCUAAUAUAUAUGCAGCUUCUCCAAGGUCCUUCAUUGAAAAACACUUAUUCAAGUAGGCCUUAAUGUUGUCCAAGAAUUCUAUAUCAUUUCCCAUCAAAAGUAUGUCAUCUACAUAUAAUAUGAGAAAUGCUACGGAGCUCCCACUCACUUUCUUGUAAACGCAGGCUUCUCCAUAAGUCUGCAUAAACCCAAACACUUUGAUCAUCUCAUCAAAGCGAAUGUUCCAACUCCGAGAUGCUUGCACCAGCCCAUAAAUGGAUCACUGGAGCUUGCAUACCUUGUUAGCAUUCUUAGGAUCGACAAAACCCUCUGGCUGCAUCAUAUACAGUUCUUCCUUAAGAUGCACGUUAAGGAAUGCCGUUUUGAUGUCCAUCUGCCAUAUCUCAUAAUCAUAGUAUGCGGCAAUUGCUAACAUGAUUCGGACGGACUUCAGCUUCGCUACGGGAGAGAAAGUCUCAUCGUAGUCAAUCCCUUGAACUUGCCGAUAACCCUUAGCGACAAGUCGAGCUUUAUAGAUGGUGACAUUACCAUCCGCGUCCGUCUUCUUCUUAAAGAUCCAUUUGUUUUCUAUCGCUCGCCGAUCAUCGGGCAAGUCAGUCAAAGUCCAUACUUUGUUUUCAUACAUGGAUUCUAUCUCGGAUUUCAUGGCUUCUAGCCAUUUGUUGGAAUCUGGGCCCGCCAUUGCUUCUUCAUAGUUCGAAGGUUCACCGUUGUCUAACAACAUGAUUUCUAGGACAGGGUUGCCAUACCACUCUGGUGGGGAACGUGUCCUUGUGGACCUACGAAGUUCAGUAGCAACUUGAUCAGAAGUACCUUGAUCAUCAUCAUUAAUUCCCUCUCCAGUCGGUGUAGGCACCACAGGAACGUUUUCCUGAGCUGCACUACUUUCCGGUUCAAGAGGUAGUACUUCAUCGAGUUCUACUUUCCUCCCACUUACUCCUUUCGAGAGAAACUCUUUUUCCAGAAAGGAUCCGUUCUUGGCAACAAAGAUCUUGACCUCGGAUCUUAAGUAGAAGGUAUACCCAAUGGUUUCCUUAGGGUAUCCUAUGAAGACGCAUUUUUCCGACUUGGGUUCGAGCUUUUCAGGUUGAAGUUUCUUGACAUAAGCAUCGCAUCCCCAAACUUUAAGAAAUGACAGCUUAGGUUUCUUCCCAAACCAUAAUUCAUACGGUGUCGUCUCAACGGAUUUAGACGGUGCCCUAUUUAAAGUGAAUGUAGCUGUCUCUAGAGCGUAUCCCCAAAAUGAUAGCGGUAAAUCGGUAAGAGACAUCAUAGAUCGCACCAUAUCCAAUAGAGUGCGAUUACGACAUUCGGACACACUGUUACACUGAGAUGUUCCAGGCGGCGUGAGUUGUGAAACUAUUCCACAUUUUCUUAAGUGUGUACCAAAUUCGUGACUUAAAUAUUCUCCUCCACGAUCCGAUCGUAAGAACUUUAUCUUUCGGUCACGUUGAUUCUCUACUUCAUUCUGAAAUUCUUUGAACUUUUCAAAGGUCUCAGACUUGUGUUUCAUCAAGUAGACAUACCCAUAUCUACUCAAGUCAUUAGUGAGAGUGAGAACAUAAUGAUAUCCUCCGCGAGCCUCAACGCUCAUUGGACCACACACAUCAGUAUGUAUGAUUUCCAAUAAGUUGGUUGCUCGCUCCAUUGUUCCGGAGAACGGGGUCUUGGUCAUUUUGCCCAUGAGGCAUGGUUCGCAUGUGUCAAAUGAUUCAUAAUCUAGAGACUCUAAAAGUCCAUCAGCAUGGAGCUUCUUCAUGCGCUUGACACCAAUGUGACCAAGGCGGCAGUGCCACAAGUAUGUGGGACUAUCGUUAUCAACUUUACAUCUUUUGGUAUUCACACUAUGAAUAUGUGUAACAUUACGUUCGAGAUUCAUUAAGAAUAAACCAUUGACCAUCGGGGAAUGACCAUAAAAAUUAUCUCUCAUAUAAAUAGAACAACCAUUAUUCUCGGAUUUACAUGAGUAGCCAUCUCGUAUUAAACGAGAUCCAGAUACAAUGUUCAUGCUCAAACUUGGCACUAAAUAACAAUUAUUGAGGUUUAAAACUAAUCCCGUAGGUAAGUGUAGAGGUAGCGUGCCGACGGCGAUCACAUCGACCUUGGAACCAUUCCCGACGCGCAUCGUCACCUCGUCCUUCGCCAGUCUCCGCUUAUUCCGCAGCUCCUGCUGUGAGUUACAAAUGUGAGCAACGGCACCGGUAUCAAAUACCCAGGAGUUACUACGAGUAAUGGUAAGGUACACAUCAAUUACAUGUAUAUCAAAUAUACCUUUAGUGUUGCCGGCCUUCUUGUCCGCUAAGUAUUUGGGGCAGUUCCGCUUCCAGUGACCCUUCCCCUUGCAAUAAAAGCACUCAGUCUCAGGCUUGGGUCCAUUCUUUGACUUCUUCCCGGCAACUGGCUUACCGGGCGCGGCAACAUCUUUGCCGUCCUUCUGGAAGUUCUUCUUACCCUUGCCCUUCUUGAACUUAGUGGUCUUAUUGACCAUCAACACUUGAUGUUCUUUCUUGAUUUCAACUUCUGUUGACUUCAGCAUUGAGAAUACUUCAGGAAUGGUCUUUGCCAUCCCCUGCAUAUUGUAGUUCAACACAAAGCUCUUGUAGCUCGGUGGGAGCGACUGAAGGAUUCUGUCAAUGACCGCCUCUUCCGGGAGGUUGAUCUCCAACUGGGACAGGCGGUUGUGCAACCCAGACAUUUUGAGUAUGUGCUCACUGACAGAACUGUUUUCCUCCAUCUUACAACUAUAGAACUUGUCGGAGACUUCAUAUCUCUCGACCCGGGCAUGAUCUUGGAAAACCAUUUUCAGCUCCUCGAACAUCUCAUAUGCUCCGUGCUUCUCAAAAUGCUUUUGGAGCCCCGGUUCUAAGCUGUAAAGCAUGCCGCACUGAACGAGGGAGUAAUCAUCAGCGCGUGAUUGCCAAGUGUUCAUAACGUCUUGGUUCUCUGGGAUGGGUGCUUCACCUAGCGGUGCAUCUAGGACAUAAUCUUUCUUGGCUGCUAUGAGGAUGAUCCUCAGGUUCCGGACCCAGUCCGAAUAGUUGCUACCAUCAUCUUUCAGCUUGGUUUUCUCUAGGAACGUGUUGAAGUUCAUGUUGACAUGAGCGUUGGCCAUUUGAUCUACAAGACAUAUUUUGCAAAAGUUUUAGACUAAGUUCAUGAUAAUUAAGUUCAUCUAAUCAAAUUAUUUAAUGAACUCCCACUCAGAUUAGACAUCCCUCUAGUCAUCUAAGUGUUACACGACCCGAGUCGACUAGGCCGUGUUCGAUCAUCACGUGAGAUGGACUAGUCAUCAUCGGUGAACAUCUCCAUGUUGAUGUAUCUUCCAUACAACUCAUGUUCGACCUUUCGGUCUCUGUGUUCCGAGGCCAUGUCUGUACAUGCUAGGCUCGUCAAGUUAACCCUAAGUGUUAUGCAUGUGUAAAUCUAUCUUACACCCGUUGUAUGUGAACAUAAGGAUCUAUCACACCCGAUCAUCACGUGGUGCUUCAAAACGACGAACUUUAGCAAUGGUGCACAGUUAGGGGGAACACUUUCUUGAAAUUAUUAUAAGGGAUCAUCUUAUUUACUACCGUCGUUCUAAGUAAACAAGAUGCAUAAACAUAAUAAACAUCACAUGCAAUUAUAUAAUAGUGACAUGAUAUGGCCAAUAUCAUAUAGCUCCUCUGAUCUCCAUCUUCGGGGCUCCAUGAUCAUCUUCGUCACCGGCAUGACACCAUGAUCUCCAUCAUCAUGAUCUCCAUCAUUGUGUCUUCAUGAAGUUGUCACGCCAACGACUACUUCUACUUCUAUGGCUAACGCAUUUAGCAAUAUAGUAAAGUAAUUUACAUGGCGUUCUUUAAUGACACGCAGGUCAUACAAAAAAUAAAGACAACUCCUAUGGCUCCUGCCGGUUGUCAUACUCAUCGACAUGCAAGUCGUGAUUCCUAUUACAAGAACAUGAUCUCAUACAUCACAAUAUAUCAUUCAUCAUUCAUCACAACUUCUGGCCAUAUCACAUCACAUGACAAUUGCUGCAAAAACAAGUUAGACGUCCUCUAAUUGUUGUUGCAUCUUUUACGUGGCUGCAAUUGGGUUCUAGCAAGAACGUUUUCUUACCUACGAAUAACCACAACGUGAUUUUGUCAACUUCUAUUUACCCUUCAUAAGGACCCUUUUCAUCUAAUCCGCUCCAACUAAAGUAGGAGAGACAGACACCCGCUAGCCACCUUAUGCAACUAGUCCAUGUCAGUCGGUGGAACCUGUCUCACGUAAGCGUACGUGUAAGUUCGGUCCGGGCCGCUUCAUCCCACAAUACCGCUGAAGCAAGAAAAGACUAGUAGCGGCAAGCAAGUUGACAAGAUCUACACCCACAACAAAAUUGUGUUCUACUCGUGCAAUAGAGAACUACGCAUAGACCUAGCUCAUGAUGCCACUGUUGGGGAACGUUGCAGAAAAUUAAAAAAAAUUCUACGGUUUCACCAAGAUCCAUCUAUGAGUUCAUCUAAGCAACGAGUCAUGGUAGAGAGAUUGCAUCUACAUACCACUUGUAGAUCGCGUGCGGAAGCGUUCAAGGGAAUGGUGAUGAUGGAGUUGUACUCGCCGUGAUUCAAAUCACCGAUGACCAAGUGCUGAAUGGACAGCACCUCCGCGUUCAACACACAUACGGUACGGACGACAUCUCCUCCUUCUUGAUCCAGCAAGGGGGAAGGAGAGGUUGAGGAAGAAGGCUCCAGCAGCAGCACGACUGCAUGAUGAUGGUGGAGAGGCAGUACUCCGACAGGGCUCCGCCAAGCGCUCAACGGAGGAGGAGAGGUGUUGGGGAGGGGAGGGGCUAUGCCUUGGAUCAGGUGUUCAGCCCUCCCCUCACCCCUCUAUUUAUAGGGGAAGGGGGAAGGGGGACGGCCCCCUCUAGAUGAGAUCUAGAGGGGGGCGGCCAGGGAGGGGGCUUGCCCCCCAAGCAAAGGGGGUGCGCCCCCUUUAGGCCCCCCCCCCCAACCCUAGGCGCAUGGGCCCAAGGGGGGGCGCCCAGCCCUCCAGGGGCUGGUUCCCUGUCCCAUGCAGCCCAUGUGGCCCACCAAGAGGUGUGGCCCCUCCCGGUGGACCCCCGGAACCCCUCCGGUGGCCCUGGUACAAUACCGAUAUGCCCCCGAAACUUUCCGGUGUCCGCAUGACAACUUCCCAUAUAUAAAUCUUUACCUGCGGACCCUUCCGGAACUCCUCGUGACGUCCGGGAUCUCAUCCGGGACUCCGAACAACAUUCGGUAAUCACAUACAAGUCUUCCUUAUAACCCUAGCGUCACCGAACCUUAAGUGUGUAGACCCUACGGGUUCGGGAGACACGCAGACAUGACCGAGACGGCUCUCCGGUCAAUAACCAAUAGCAGGAUCUAGAUACCCAUGUUGGCUCCCACAUGCUCCUCGAUAAUUUCAUCGGAUGAACCACGAUGUCGAGGACUCAAUCAACCCCGUAUGCAAUUCCCUUUGUCAAUCGGUACGUUACAUGCCCGAGACUCGAUCGUCGGUAUCCCAAUACCUCGUUCAGUCUCAUUACCGGCAAGUCACUUUACUCGUACCAUAGUGCAUGAUCCCGUUACCAAACACUUGGUCACUUUGAGCUCAUUAUGAUGAUGCAUUACCGAGUGGGCCCAGAGAUACCUCUCCGUCAUACGGAGUGACAAAUCCCAGUCUCGAUCUGUGUUAACCCAACAGACACUUUCGGAGAUACCUGUAGUGCACCUUUAUAGUCACCCAGUUACGUUGUGACGUUUGGUACACCCAAAGCACUCUUACGGUAUCCGGGAGUUACACGAUCUCAUGGUCUAAGGAAGAGAUACUUAACAUUGGAAAAGCUCUAGCAAAACGAACUACACGAUCUUGUGCUAUGCUUAGGAUUGGGUCUUGUCCAUCACAUCAUUCUCCUAAUGAUGUGAUCCCGUUAUCAACGACAUCCAAAUGUCCAUAGUCAGGAAACCAUGACUAUCUGUUGAUCAACGAGCUAGUCAACUAGAGGCUUACUAGGGACGUAUUGUGGUCUAUGUAUUCACACGUGUAUUAUGAUUUCCGGAUAAUACAAUUAUAGCAUGAAUAAAAGACAAUUAUCAUGAACAAGGAAAUAUAAUAAUAAUGCUUUUAUUAUUGCCUCUAGGGUAUAUUUCCAACAAACGGAUCAUAACACAUAAUAGGUGAUUAUAGACUUGCAAGCUAGGAUCAAGAACUCACAUAUAUUCAUGAAAACAUAAUAGGUCCAGAUCUGAAAGCAUGGUAGUCGGGCCCUAGUGACAAGCAUUAAGCAUAGCAAAGUCAUAGCAACAUCAAUCUCAGAACAUAGUGGAUACUAGGGAUCAAACCCUUACAAAAACAACUUGAUUACAUGGUAAAUCUCAUCCAACCCAUCACCGUCCAGCAAGCCUACGAUGGAAUUACUCACGCACGGCGGUGAGCAUCAUGAAAUUGGUGAUGAAGUAUGGUUGAUGAUGACGACGACGGCGGAUUCCCCUCUCCGAAGCCCCGAACGGACUCCAGAUCAGCCCUCCCGAGAGAGUUUAGGGCUUGGUGGUGGCUCUGUAUCGUAAAACGCGAUAAUUCUUUUUCUCUGAUUUUUUUCUCCGCAAAAGCAAAUAUAUGGAGUUGGAGUUGAGGUCGGUGGACUUCCAGGGGGCCCACAAGGCAGGGGGCGCGCCCUAGGGGAGGGGGCGCGCCCCCCACCCUCGUGGACAGGGUGUGGGCCCCCUGACGAUGAUUCUUUCGCCAGUAUUUUUUAUUAAUUCCGGAAAGUUACUCCGUGGAUUUGCAGGUCAUUCCGAGAACUUUUAUUUCUGCACAAAAAUAACACCAUGAUAGUUCUACUGAAAACAGCGUCAGUCCGGGUUAGUUCCAUUCAAAACAUGCAAGUUAGAGUCCAAAACAAGGGCAAAAGUGUUUAGAAAAGUAGAUACGACGAAGACGUAUCAAAUACUAACACACAAAUAUUUAGAAAAUAAAAUUAUUAAAUAUGCAAAAUAUGAGAUUGUUUAAUAUAAACAAUUAGUUAAUUAAAAAUUUCAAAAUUGUUUAAUAUUAAAAUUUCUUUAGUUAAUGGGUUCAUAAUUAACUUACUUUGCUAAUUAUUAUAUUUUAUGUGUUUAUGCAGGAUCUUUUACGGGUUGGCGAAACCAACAAGACGGCCUACGGGUAUGCAACAAUUGUGUUAAUCCUACUCAGCACUCUCCGUAUUUAUCACGACGUGACUUCAGAAGCAGCUAAGUUCUUCCAGUUGAUCUUUAUAUUGCGAAUUUAUGAGAUAAAUUCCUACCGUCUUCCUAAGCAAUUCCACCCUAAGAAAACACUUCUAUAUGGCUAAAGGUUGUCUACAUAUGCCACACAGGCUAAAGAGAGAACUACCAGCUAAGGUUUCUCCUAUGAGAUCCCCAGCGUAAGAACUGAUCUCUUAAAUUCAUAAUAGAAAGACCAAGUGAAACACGAAACUACUUCAUUUCGACAACAUAAUUUACAUACGGAUUUCCCUUUCCGAAGACCCCGAAGGGAUUACAAAGAGAAAAGAAGACUACCUUUUGCCUACCUCCACCUCAGGGAGAUACGAUGCCUCAAAGGCUUUAUUACAACUAGAGCUAGCUACUACUACUAUGACUACUGAGUAGUAUGAGGG
rnacentral:lncRNA from 1 species